UACGUAGGGUGCAAGCGUUAAUCGGAAUUACUGGGCGUAAAGCGUGCGCAGGCGGUUCGCUAAGACAGAUGUGAAAUCCCCGGGCUUAACCUGGGAACUGCAUUGGUGACUGGCGGGCUAGAGUAUGGCAGAGGGGGGUAGAAUUCCACGUGUAGCAGUGAAAUGCGUAGAGAUGUGGAGGAAUACCGAUGGCGAAGGCAGCCCCCUGGGCCAAUACUGACGCUCAUGCACGAAAGCGUGGGGAGCAAACAGG
rnacentral:rRNA from 1 species